rnacentral:lncRNA from 1 species
GGAAUCCACCUAUCCCUAAGUUCACAUGUCAAGUGUCAUUUUUACACUAAGUUAUAUGCCACUCGUUCUGUUGUUAUUGUUAUUUACAUGCCACUCGUUAUGUCUUAUCAACCAUCGAGUCCAUCUCUUAUCUCAGCACUAUAGGAUUCAAUGUUUCGACCCAAUCCUUAUCUAUCCACUAUAUCAAGCAUUCAACUCACACUAUGAUAUCAUCUAGGAAAGCAUAAGGAAAUGGAAAUGCACAUUUAUCCUACAAUGCAUACAUGCAAGAGAUGCAAGAUU